CAGCAGCCGCGGUAAUACCGGCGGCCCGAGUGGCGGUCACUAUUAUUGGGCUUAAAGCGUCCGUAGCCGGGUUGGGAAGUCCUCCGGGAAAUCUGGCCGCUUAACGGUCAGAAUGCCGGAGGAUACUCCCAGCCUAGGGAGCGGGAGAGGCCGAGGGGAUUCCCGGGGUAGGGGUGAAAUCCUAUAAUCCCGGGAGGACCACCUGUGGCGGAGGCGCUCGGCUGGAACGCGUCCGACGGUGAGGGACGAAGGCCAGGGGAGCAAACCGGAUUAGAUACCCGGGUAGUCCUGGCUGUAAACGAUGCGGACUUUGUGUCGGACAAGCUAUGAGCUUGUCCGGUGCCGGAGGGAAACCGUUAAGUCCGCCGCCUGGGGAGUACGGCCGCAAGGCUGAAACUUAAAGGAAUUGGCGGG
rnacentral:rRNA from 1 species